AUUGAACGCUGGCGGAAUGCUUUACACAUGCAAGUCGAACGGCAGCACGGACUUCGGUCUGGUGGCGAGUGGCGAACGGGUGAGUAAUACAUCGGAACGUGCCCAGUCGUAGGGGAUAACGUAGCGAAAGCUACGCUAAUACCGCAUACGAUCUAAGGAUGAAAGCGGGGGAUCGCAAGACCUCGCGCGAUUGGAGCGGCCGAUGGCAGAUUAGGUAGUUGGUGGGGUAAAGGCUCACCAAGCCGACGAUCUGUAGCUGGUCUGAGAGGACGACCAGCCACACUGGGACUGAGACACGGCCCAGACUCCUACGGGAGGCAGCAGUGGGGAAUUUUGGACAAUGGGCGCAAGCCUGAUCCAGCCAUUCCGCGUGCAGGAUGAAGGCCCUCGGGUUGUAAACUGCUUUUGUACGGAACGAAAAGGCUCUGGUUAAUACCUGGGGCUCAUGACGGUACCGUAAGAAUAAGCACCGGCUAACUACGUGCCAGCAGCCGCAGUAA
rnacentral:rRNA from 1 species